ensembl:lncRNA
AAUAAAGAAGCGACAAGCUGAGACAUGCUAUCAUUAAGUAAUCAUAAUUUCCUCCCUAUUUUACGACAAUAGAUGUCACUCUCUCAUCUGGAAGGCAGGCCACGUAUACAAACACCAUGUCAAAACCCUUUUCAGACAAAGACGCAGGGGGGUGUGGUGAGUUAUCUGGGUGCAGAAUAGAAUAUUUUGAUGGGUUGCAACCACCCCAUUUCCCACCCCCCAACUCCUACAUGCACUGAUAAAAGUCAGAUCUGUAAAGAACUUCAAAGACUCCCCCGUCUGACAAACAGUAAUAAAACAAGAAACUGAAAAAAAAAAAAAAAAAAGAAUCUGCAAAAGUGCAUGGAGGAAGCAGAGCUGACAAGCGGUGUGAUGGUUCUGUUUUAGCAAUCAGCAGACUAACUGCAGGGCACUUCCUCCUAGCGGGAAGCCGAGCCUGGGCUGCCAACUGUGAAGGAGUACAGAAAGGUCAGGAUUCUGCAGGCCUGGAAUAAGCGAUUGUACAUUAUUUCUGCCUAUUUUUCAUCCAGGUCCCAUCCGCCCCAAGCCCACAGCCUGCUGUAACCCAGCUGCAGCCUCCACUGCUCCCUCCCCUCCUCCUUCCAAAGGGAAAGAUAUGAAAAGGCAAAUCAGUGAGUUGGAUCUCACCUUUCCCUUCUUCCUCCAUUUUAAUGGAGGGUUGGGGGCUGGGGGCAGGGUUGGGGGAGCACACAAGAAGGAAAUCACUCUGGAAUCCAGAACAUCUGGCUUCCAUUCAGACGCAGUCACCAACCUUGGGAGCAUAUUGAAAGCAUUUGGCUGUCUCAACAGUCUAAAAGGAGCUAUUUAUUUCAGACUCAACAACCAGCCUGAACAUGUGCUUCCAUUUGGAAACAAUCGGAGAAACUUCCGUCCAUGUGAUUCCUAUGGCUCGUACGUUCUGAACAUCAUCGAGAGGAGGCCAUUAUACUGAUGUGUCACUUGAUGUAUCUGCUAAAAUACAAAACAUGGGCUUGGUUAAAGGCCUGGUGAGAACUGCCUCCACCUCUACACUAUGGUUUCUCCGUUCCUUGCAUGUGUUCAAGCCUAGGUAAAGGUAGUUCCAGAAGCUCCUUUACUUGGGCAAUUGGUGGAACCCAGUGGAGUCCCACAAGCUUGGCGUGAUUUCCAGACCAUUACUGAGUCACCCAGCCUCACUGCUCUAAGACUCAGAAACUCUAAGCCCAAAGAAUAAGGACUAUUUUAGAAUGUAUGGAACACACUUACUAAUGUGCUCUUGUCUGAUCCCUGCAAUCCCCGUGAGAGUGUGUCUAACACUCUGGACGAGGAAAUCGAGCGUCGCCUAAGUCGCUGAGCCCAGGGGCCCCGACUGGAAAUCCUCUGCUUCAUACCAUAGCUCCCACUCAGUCAGCAGGAGAGAAUCCCAGAAUCGGAAAGGGACAGGGGAAGACAACAUUAAGUCCUAGGGACCCUGGGGGAGCCCAAGAAAGACAAAUAUUCAGUGACGGCCUUAGAUAGCCUCAGAGAAACCCUUCCCAACUGGGGAUUUGCCCAGGUGAAAUCAUUCUGCACUCCCAUCCCAACUGAAUCUUCUGUGUAAAAUAGAAAACCUCACCCUGAACGCUGGGGAGGAGGAAGGUGGCCCGGGGAGGAAACGCCUGGUCUCCAGUGUUCCACAUGCUCCCCCAGCCUCUCUGCAUCUCUGGCUUUGCCUUCUGACUUGGAUCUCUCUCUCUCUCUCUCUUUUUUUUUUUUUACAGGCAGAGUGGACAGUGAGAGAGAGAGAGACAGAGAGAAAGGUCUUCCUUUGCCGUUGGUUCACCUUCCAAUGGCCGCCGUGGCCGGCACGCUGUGGCCAGUGCACCGUGCUGAUCCGAUGGCAGGAGCCAGGUACCUAUCCUGGUCUCCCAUGGGGUGCAGGGCCCAAGCACUUGGGCCAUCUUCCACUGCACUCCCUGGCCACAGCAGAGAGC